CCUACGGGUGGCAGCAGUGGGGAAUAUUGCACAAUGGGGGAAACCCUGAUGCAGCGACGCCGCGUGAGUGAAGAAGUAAUUCGUUAUGUAAAGCUCUAUCAGCAGGGAAGAAAGUGACGGUACCUGAGGAAGAAGCCGCGGCAAACUACGUGCCAGCAGCAGCGGCAAUACGUGGGGGGCAAGGUUUGUCGGGCUUUAUUGGGUUAAAAGGGUGCGCAGGGGGGAGAUCAAGACGGCGGAAAAAUGUGGGGGCUAAACCCCGGCCGGCCGUUGAAACUGGUUUUCUGGAGUUGGAGAGAGGUAUGUGGAAUUCGUGGUGUAGCGGUGAAAUGCAUAGAUAUCACGAAGAACUCCGAUUGCGAAGGCAGCAUACCGGAUUCAUACUGACGUUGAGGCUCGAAAGCGUGGGGAGCGAACAGGAUUAGAUACCCUAGUAGUC
rnacentral:rRNA from 1 species